rnacentral:lncRNA from 1 species
UAAAUUGUUCUUUCUAACCCAUGUUAAAUGAUAUAGUUUUUCUAAUGAUUGUUAACACACUAAUUAUUUAGAGUAAAGUACAUGGACGGUCCCUGUGGUUUAUCAGAAUUUGGGUUUGGUCCCUAUCUUUCUAGAAGUACACGGAUGGUCCCUAGGGUUUGCACGUUGUAACGCAUUUAGUUCCCAGCCAACAAAUAUAAAGGUUUUAGCAUGUCCAAGUUAGGGACUAAAUGCGUUACAAAGUACAAACCACAGGGACCCUCCAUGUACUAUUGGUAAAAGUUGGGGACUAAAUGUGUUGCAAAGUGCAAACCACAAGGAUCAUCAGUGUACUUUUGGAAAGCUAGGGACCAAAUCCAAGAUUUUGGUAAACCACAGGGGCUUACCCAAUUAUUUAUAAUGUUUGGAAAAAAAAUUAAUGCGGUAAAAAAUGGAUAUCGGUCCAGGACCAAUAUUUGA